UACGAAGGGGGCUAGCGUUGCUCGGAAUUACUGGGCGUAAAGCGCACGUAGGCGGCUCUUUAAGUCGGGGGUGAAAUCCUGGAGCUCAACUCCAGAACUGCCUUCGAUACUGUAGAGCUUGAGUUCGGGAGAGGUGAGUGGAACUGCGAGUGUAGAGGUGAAAUUCGUAGAUAUUCGGAAGAACACCAGUGGCGAAGGCGACUCGCUGGACAAGUAUUGACGCUGAGGUGACGAAAGCGUGGGGAGCAAACAGG
rnacentral:rRNA from 1 species